GACUCGGUAGCUCAGUUGGUAGAGCACAUCCCUUUUAAGGAUGGGGUCCUGGGUUCGAGACCCAGCCGAGUCAC
rnacentral:tRNA from 1 species